AUGGCAUCCAAAGCAUUGGCAGGUCUGGUGGUCCUUGUACUGCUCGCAGGCGGCGAGCUUGGCCGCGCCGAGCUGGCGAAGAACGUGAACGCCAUGGAUGGAGCAUCAGCAACCACUACUCAUCGCCACGCCAGGAUCGGUAACGGCCUCAACUUACUAAUCCUCCAGUUUCUUGCGCUGCGAAUUGGAAAAAGAAUUAGCUGCACUCAUCUUGUUUGUUUGGGAUGA
rnacentral:rRNA from 1 species